UUUUUUUUUUUUUCUUUCUUCGACAGGGAAGUAACAGUUUCGUUUAACAGGUUGAUUGCCACGAUCACCUAUUCGUUAUCGGAUUCGCUAUCGGCGAUCCACGCUAUUACAUUUUUGAGAAUAAUUUAAUGUAAGAUAAAUUUCAUGGACUAAAGGACCGUCAACAAUGUGAACGAUUUAUAUUACAUGGAGAGAGAAAAGUGUGCAAAUGUAAUACGAUAUUUUCCAAUAAUUAAACAUAACAACGUAUUUCGAUCUAUUGCGGUUUCCACGGAAUGUUAUAUAAACAGAAAUCCGUAUCAUUCGUAGCCUAGUCAUCGUCGGUUAUCGACGUCGAUCGUCUUGUCAUUGACAUUUUUCCCGCCGACAGUCCUAACAUUGCGCAACCAGAGGGCGAGAAACGAUUCACGUCGACGCUGAACCGUCGUGACUCGUCCAGUUGCCUACAGUCAUCGAUCCCCAGCAGCUUAUGCACCCGGAAACCGUGCCACAAUUCCACGAGAUAAUUCGAUUCGCGGCCGAAGGAAAUCGGGACGACGACUGGAAUCGUCCUCUCUGUAAUCACGUCGGCGUAAUCGCUUUGGAUGAGCCGGGGAUUGGCAAAGCGAUGAAAAUUUUUUCUCGUUCCCGGCGAAUUAAUUUCGCCCUGUUCAAAGGGUUAACCGGACCGUGGCCACGGAAAUAAUCUACCGCACCUUAGCGUUGCUCCUACACAUUCUCUUGCUUCUCUGACGUAAGAAUCGAGCAACACAAUAGAAACGAGAGAGAGAGAGAGAGAGAGAGAGAGAGAGAGAGAGAGAGAGAGAGAGAGAGAGAGAGAGAGAGAGAGAGACAGAAGAAGAAGAAGAAGAAUCGACGCGAAGCCGUGCUGGUGAAAUGAUUAUGCCCUGAGAAAAACGACGUCAGGAAGACGGCAACAUGUUCAAUCUUUCAAGCAGAGCGUAGAAAAUGUAAAUUAUCAGUUUAUUUAUUUUUUGUCAAAAUAUAUUUACUUUCAAUAUCUGAUUUUAUUUGCAACGUUUUAUCAUAUCAUUACUAUCCUGUGAAAUAAGAACAGACAAAGCGCGUUUUCUUCUUUCGUAGAGGAAUUUCUAUUCCAACUUAAUUUUACA